GGCUGUGGCUCAGCAACAAGAGCAUCUGCUUUGCAUGCAGAAGGUCCCAAUGUCAAUCACUGGCAUUGCCA